GCCCGAAUAGCUCAGCCGGUUAGAGCACUUGACUGUUAAUCAGGGGGUCGUUGGUUCGAGUCCAACUUCGGGCGCAA
rnacentral:tRNA from 2 species